GACGAACGCUGGCGGCGUGCUUAACACAUGCAAGUCGAACGGUGAACUCCGCUUGCGGGGGGAUCAGUGGCGAACGGGUGAGUAACACGUGGGCAACCUGCCCUCAGCUCUGGGAUAACUCCAAGAAAUUGGGGCUAAUACCGGAUAUGACCGCUGACCGCAUGGUCUGGUGGUGGAAAGAUUUAUCGGCUGGGGAUGGGCCCGCGGCCUAUCAGCUUGUUGGUGGGGUAGUGGCCUACCAAGGCGACGACGGGUAGCCGGCCUGAGAGGGUGACCGGCCACACUGGGACUGAGACACGGCCCAGACUCCUACGGGAGGCAGCAGUGGGGAAUAUUGCGCAAUGGGCGAAAGCCUGACGCAGCGACGCCGCGUGGGGGAUGACGGCCUUCGGGUUGUAAACCUCUUUCAGCAGGGACGAAGCGAAAGUGACGGUACCUGCAGAAGAAGCACCGGCCAACUACGU
rnacentral:rRNA from 1 species